GAAAAUAUCACAGUUCACUCUGUAUAUAGUGUAUACAUUCUACUGGUACUUUUAAAUAUCGAUAAAAGCGUGUAGAAUAUAUUAUGGUUAUAAAGAUUAUCGUUGAUUUUUUUUUUAUAUCGUUCAAUAUCAGGAUUUAAUUAAAGUGGCAUUCAUUGCAGGUACGAUAUUUUCAUUCUAUAUUGUUCAUCGGAAUGUCUGCCAUCGCCUAUUAGAACUAAAUCACGUUGCGUACACGUUUCUAUUAAUUUGUUUAUUAACAAUAUUAACCUAAUAACUGAUCAGUGCUCGCCCAGUCAUACUAAAAGGGUAUAACACCUCGUUUUACAUGAUCGAAAACCAAUAGCUGCAGUCUGUAAGACAAUUAAUUGUAAUCGAACCGUCGGAACUAUAUGCAUGUUAAAUCAAGUAUCGACUGCCAUAUAGACAACUUUGAUUUCACGGCUAUACUGAGUAUCCUAAUAAAACCUGUGCCGUUUGUAGAAUGGCGUGCACUGUGAAUCGUCACCGAAGAAACAUUAUAUUGUGUUAUUUCAUCGCCACUAUGUAUUAAGAUACGUAUUUUGUGAAAAUAAACCAAAUGGAACGAAAUAUUUAAGUGCGACCUACCAAUGUUUUUUUAGGUAAAGUGCGUAAAUAUGACCUACAAAGAGAUUUAAGACCAUUGACUACAUGAUUACAUGACUACAGCAGCCUAAAUAUCUUUUUGUCGGAAAUGAAUUAUAAAUGACAUACCUAUUCCAUGCAAAGCUGUUCCGACAAUGCCUUGAAGCGUUCCUUCAGCACCAGCAGGAGCUAACUUCGCUGCGUAUGAAGUCGCUGCCGAGUAAGCCAACGCGAACGUUAAACCAUUGAGCAAUUCGACUGGUAAUACCCAAACCGGAUUUUUAAUUAAUGAAUACAGGAAGAAUCUAAUUGCAAACCCAAAAUACAUCAAAGAAAACACUUUCAUGUUAUCCACUCGUUUGAGAAUAUAGCCUAAAAACGGUGGUAAUAUUAUAACAUGUAAUUAUGUAAAUGUAAGUGAAUUAUGCUGUAUUUACUGGACAAGAAGAAAAACGGAACUUCUCCACCGAAACAUUGAAUUGUCUGAGUCAACCCUUCGAGCGUCUUUAUGUACGAUAUCGUUUCGGGAUGGUACGUUUUUGAUAGAUCUUCUAGAUACC